rnacentral:tRNA from 1 species
GCGGAUAUAGCUCAGUUGGUUAGAGCGUUAGGUUGUGGUUCUAAAAGUCACAGGUUCGAAUCCUGUUAUUCGCC